rnacentral:rRNA from 1 species
UACGUAGGGGGCUAGCGUUGUCCGGAUUUAUUGGGCGUAAAGAGCGUGUAGGCGGCCAGGUAGGUCCGGUGUGAAAACUCGAGGCUUAACCUCGAGAUGUCAUCGGAAACCAUCUGGCUAGAGUCCGGAAGAGGAGAGUGGAAUUCCUGGUGUAGCGGUGAAAUGCGCAGAUAUCAGGAGGAACACCAAUGGCGAAGGCAGCUCGCUGGGACGGUAUUGACGCUGAGACGCGAAAGCGUGGGGAGCAAACAGG